rnacentral:rRNA from 1 species
GUGGCAGCCGCCGCGGUAAUACGUAGGGUGCGAGCGUUAAUCGGAAUUACUGGGCGUAAAGCGUGCGCAGGCGGUUUUGUAAGACAGAUGUGAAAUCCCCGGGCUUCACCUGGGAACUGCGGUUGUGACUGCAAGGCUAGAGUACGGCAGAGGGGGGUGGAAUUCCACGUGUAGCAGUGAAAGGCGUAGAUAUGUGGAGGAACACCGAUGGCGAAGGCAGCCCCCUUGGCCUGUACUGAAGCCCAUGAACGAAAGCGUGGGGAGCAAACAAGAUUAGAUACCCCGGUAAUCCACGCCCUAA